GGACCUUUAGCUCAGUUUGUUAGAGCAACCGGCUCAUAACCGGUCGGUCCUGGGUUCGAGUCCCCGAAGGUCCA
rnacentral:tRNA from 1 species